CAUGCAUAGUUUGGGCAAAUGCUGCAUGGAGUUUCUAGCCAAUUUGAGUAUUUAAUGGGUCCUAUACAACACAUUAGCUGACAAUUGUAUGAUGCACUUGAACUUGAUGACACUGAAGGUCGGUUUCAUCCACAUCUAUUGACCAUUGUUGAUGGGGCAUAUGGAUCAAUGCAAUACCUCCAGCGCUUUGAUCGCAUGGUAGUUGGUGAUUCUGAUUCUUUCGAUCAUAAUCUUUUCACGUUGUAAAAUAGUUCAUUCCAGAAUCCCGUGCGGCAUGUUCCUACACAAGGUGGGCCAUCAUCUUGCUGAAGACAACGGCACAAGCAUGGCUUGCAAAACGAAGUCAUCGAUGCCCAUGCUAUACCACCUAUGCAGAAUAUAUUGGCCUUUGACCCUUAGGUCACGUCACUCCCGCACUC